ACCUAAAUAGUUUAUUAUUAGAACAAUAAUUUGUGGGGUUAUAGGUAUAUUUAUAUUUUAGGUA
rnacentral:tRNA from 1 species